GUGUCAGCAGCCGCGGUAAUACGUAGGGGGCAAGCGUUAUCCGGAAUUAUUGGGCGUAAAGAGUGCGUAGGUGGUUUUGUAAGCGCGAGGUGAAAGGCUAUGGCUCAACCAUAGUAAGCCUUGCGAACUGCAAGACUUGAGUGCAGGAGAGGAAAGUGGAAUUCCUAGUGUAGCGGUGAAAUGCGUAGAUAUUAGGAGGAACACCAGUGGCGAAGGCGACUUUCUGGACUGUAACUGACACUGAGGCACGAAAGCGUGGGGAGCAAACAGGAUUAGAAACCCCCGUAGUCC
rnacentral:rRNA from 1 species